rnacentral:rRNA from 1 species
AGAGUUUGAUCAUGGCUCAGAACGAACGCUGGCGGCAUGCCUAACACAUGCAAGUCGAACGAGACCUUCGGGUCUAGUGGCGCACGGGUGCGUAACGCGUGGGAAUCUGCCCUUUGCUUCGGAAUAACAGUUAGAAAUGACUGCUAAUACCGGAUGAUGUCUUCGGACCAAAGAUUUAUCGGCAAAGGAUGAGCCCGCGUAGGAUUAGGUAGUUGGUGGGGUAAAGGCCUACCAAGCCGACGAUCCUUAGCUGGUCUGAGAGGAUGAUCAGCCACACUGGGACUGAGACACGGCCCAGACUCCUACGGGAGGCAGCAGUGGGGAAUAUUGGACAAUGGGCGCAAGCCUGAUCCAGCAAUGCCGCGUGAGUGAUGAAGGCCUUCGGGUCGUAAAGCUCUUUUACCAGGGAUGAUAAUGACAGUACCUGUAGAAUAAGCUCCGGCUAACUCCGUG